UUGGUGUGACAGCAGGAAAAGCAAACACUGUUUUGUAAAGAGUAUUAUGUGAUAUAUAUUAUAAAAAAUCACAUAUAUAUUUGCAUAUAGGAUAUCUUAAUGUUUCAUGAGACCAUUUUGUGGCAGUUACAAGUUGUUUCUGCAUUCUUCAGCUCAGAAAGAAGAUUUUGGGAAGGAAACGAGGGGAGAAAAUGGCAGCUGCAAGUAGCAACGAGUUUCAGCUUAUUGUCCCUCCGAAUGUUCUGGUUAAACUGGGGUCUGAUGUUACAGUACCAUGUCACCUGUCACCUGAAAUAAGUGCUUUUGACAUGGAGAUCAGAUGGUUUAAAGAGAAAGACUGUGUGAUUCUCUAUAAGAACGGACAGGUGACAGAGUUGAGGAGCUAUGAGGGCAGAGUGAAUCUUGUAAUUCAUGAACUAGAGAGAGGAAAUGUGUCCUUAAUACUGAGAGACUUCAGAGAGUCAGAUGCGGGAGUUUACCUGUGUCAGGUCAUCAGUCAAGACAUAACAGUGGAGGAGACAGUACAAGUUAAUCAAUCAAGGGAAGAUGCUGAAGUCCAACCUGCAUCACCAUUACAAAACAAAAAUGUGCAGCUGAAACCACAUGAGAUCAACAAAACAUGGAGUGAAAGACAGAAAAGAAAAAUGGAGGAAUCUGAUGUAAUGACAGCCAUUCAUUUUUCAGGUGGAGUCAAACUUUUCUACAUGUUGACUGGAAAAACAAGUAACUCUCAUAAAAGUUUUGUUGACUCUCUGAUGAACGAAGAUCUGGAAGAUCUGAGAGAAGUUCCUACGGUGGAUGAGAGUGACAUUGUUUUGGUUUUCUGUCCUAUUGUUUCUCGAGCUGGAACUGAUAUUGAAGCAGCACUGAAAGUAUUUACUGACUCUACAGCCUCUAAAUUGAAAGUUGUAGUGGUGCUACAUCACACGUUUGACCCAGAGAAAACUGUACCAGACAGCAGCAGAUGUGUCAACAGGACAGAUAUACUGACAGUGGACUGUCUGUUCUAUGAAGACACAGGAUUACUAAAGUGUCAGAGGAAUGAUGAUGCGAAAGACAAGGUUAUUUCUUGGUUAAUAGAGCAGGGGAAGAAAAAAGGUGUUGAAGUAUGUCCACGUCAAAAUAGAUUUAAGGGAUUAACAUCAAUAAAAAGAUCACACAAGUCUGUGCAGGAUGAAGGUCAAUCUGAGACAGUGGGAUUAAAAAAGAGGAAAAUUAUUGAGCCACAGAUUUGUACAGACGACGUCAAAGUUUGCAUUAUUACGAGUGGAAAAACGAAAGAGACUAACAUUCAAUUUUUCAACACUCUGAGUGACCGCAUUAAAUCUCUGAAGGAAGUUCCUACAGUAGAUGAGAGUCACGUUGUUCUGGUUUUCUGUCCUGUUGUGUCUCGAGCUGGAACUGAUAUAGAAGCAGCACUGAAGAUAUUUGAUGACUCCACAGCUUUUAUGAUGAAAGUUCUGGUGGUGCUACAUCACACAUUUGACACAGAGAAAACUGUACCAGACAGCAGCAGAUGUGUCAACAGGACAGAUAUCCUGACAGUGGACUGUCUGUUCUAUGAAGACACAGGAUUGCUAAAGUGUCAGAAAAAUUAUGAUGCAAUCGACAAAGUUGUGAACUGGUUAAUACAGCAGGGGGAGACAGAGGGAGUUAAAGUUUGUCCACGUCAAAGCAAGUCAUAUUUCAGCAGAGCAUAACAUUGGCCAGAUUUUACACAGCUCUAUAUCUCCCUGUUGUUUGGGUUAAAGGAUUGACUCACAACGGAGUUGAUAUCUCCAGGUGUAAUUUGUUCCUGACGGAGAGAGAUCUAGUGAAACUGGACUCAAAGUUUAGAUCUAUAAGAUCUACAAGCCAUAUAUCAUAGUUGGAUCUAUCAGUUGGCAGAAGAAACACUGAGUUCCUGCAAUGGCCAAGUAAACAAAAGUGUUACGUAUCUCAGUUGUUAAAAUGACACUGUAAUUUUUCUCUACAGUGGAUGAAACCAGGAUCUUCAAGGGGUAAUCAUUAAGGAUGGUUGUACAGAAUCACAUGGAGGUUUAGGAAUAAUCUUUUGUUACACCAUCAUUCAGAAGAUCCUGUGACUGACAGCUAUGUAAAUCAACUCACUCUACAGCUGAGAUCAACAUUAGUCAACACAUAUUAGCUGCUUGUUGUGAUUCACACAUGCCAAGUACUGAUAUCUACUAUGAGCCUGUUCUUUCCAGCCACAGCACCUUAUUGUGUUCAUGUGAUUUAAUUGGUUGUGGUGCAAAAGGUUGUGGGUUCAAGUCUCAGGGAACACACACAGCCUAAUCGAAAAAUUUAUAAAUUGAAAGCACAGAAAUUAAUGAUAAAAGUGUCUGUCAAAUGUUUAAAUAUAAAAAGUGCUAAAAUUGUCUAUUCAUAGAGCCUUCAAAACAAAUGGCUGCAUAUUUUGUUUUUUCACAUAUGCAGCCACUGAACUAUUUAGUUAUCUUGACUGGAGACACACAUACAUUUCAUGGGACUUUAUAGAUGCUCUAAACAGAGAGACCCUGUGUCUGGGUUUUCUACGGAUAUAUUCUGCACUUCCGUUAUGUUUCUGUUUUAAGUGACACUUUUACUGAUGGACAAAAUUAUUCAAAGAGAACAGGUGAAUAAGAAUAACAUUUACUUAUACAAAAUCAAUGUAUUGCUGGUUUGUUUCUACUAAUGACACAAAUUACAUUAUUUUUCUAGACAAGCCUGUUGUUCUUGUUGUUCUCCAUAAUACACUGGAAUCAAACUCUUUCCCAAACUUCUGUCUGGUUUACACUUGUAAAAAAAGAUCACGUCAUAUUUUAAUAAGAAAAAUCUUGAAUAUUUAGGGAUAAUGUAAAUUUGAAAUCAAUAAUGUAAAUAGAAGUUUAUAAAACAUAUUUUAUAAAUACUGCAUUAUUUGUGUGAAGUUAUUCAAGAAAAUUGUCUGCAAUGUCAAUGUUUGUUCUCCGUUUAUGU